AUUGAACGCUGGCGGCAUGCUUUACACAUGCAAGUCGAACGGUAACAGGCCGCAAGGUGCUGACGAGUGGCGAACGGGUGAGUAAUGCAUCGGAACGUGCCCAGUCGUGGGGGAUAACUACUCGAAAGAGUAGCUAAUACCGCAUACGAUCUAUGGAUGAAAGCGGGGGACCGUAAGGCCUCGCGCGAUUGGAGCGGCCGAUGUCAGAUUAGGUAGUUGGUGGGGUAAAGGCUCACCAAGCCAACGAUCUGUAGCUGGUCUGAGAGGACGACCAGCCACACUGGGACUGAGACACGGCCCAGACUCCUACGGGAGGCAGCAGUGGGGAAUUUUGGACAAUGGGCGCAAGCCUGAUCCAGCAAUGCCGCGUGCAGGAAGAAGGCCUUCGGGUUGUAAACUGCUUUUGUACGGAACGAAACGGUUCUGGUUAAUACCCGGGGCUAAUGACGGUACCGUAAGAAUAAGCACCGGCUAACUACGUG
rnacentral:rRNA from 1 species